GCUUCACCUCCGCCUUUAAUUUUUACAGCUGGGGCUGUUUAUCAUCGCUCUAACUUUCACCAAAAAGGAAAAACUAUCACUUAAACAAAGCCAUUGAAAACUCAGCAUCAUAUGUGGAUUUCUUAACAUAAAUAAAUCAUACAAACCAAGAUUUAUGUACUUCACAUGAUGUCAUUUGCUGAGGGCUGCCUUCCCAAUCAAAUCAGUGGUUCGUGACUUUCCUUUUGUGUGUGUGCUUUUGGCAGAGUAAGAAAAGCCGCCCUGGCAUCCUCGUUGCUCGUUUUCUCUGCCUGGCCCAGGGCUUGAGAAAGGUCUCUCCCCGGGUCGUGACGGUGACCACAGGUUCAGCUCCACAGACUGCAUUUCAAGCCUUUGCUUUCGAAACGCAGGUUCUGACUUGAAAGACUCUUAAAGCUUCCUGAAGAAUUUGUUCAAAGCCCAGCAGAAGUUGAAGGCCUCUAGGCCUCGCAGAGCCUCGUCUGGUUUCAGAGUCAUCACAUUGAAGUGAACAAGGAAGGUGGAAAUCUCCCUUCUGUGCCUGGAGGAGGGUUCUGCCAAAACAAGAGUGAAGCCACCACGCAGGCCACAACGUACGUGAACUCAGUGAAGGAAGCUGCUGGGAACUGGCCACAUGCUAUAUAUGAUCCCGUGUACGUGACACGUCCAGGAUGGGCGAAUCCACAGAGACAGAAAAGAGAUUAGUGAGGGCCAAGGCCAGGGAGGGGGCGGGGGGCGUGUGACUGCUUCCUUGGCCUGGGUAUCCUGCCGGGAAGAUGAAAAGUUCUGGAACUCGAAAGCCCUAUUUAUUUAUUUAUUCUUUGUCUUUUGUCUUUUUAGAGCUGCACCUGCGGCAUGUGCAGGUUCCCAGGCUAGAGAUCCAAUCGGAGCUGUAGCUGCCAGCCUACGCCAAACCCACGGUAGUGCCAGAUCUGAGCUGUGUCUGCGACCUACACCACAGCUCACGGCAACACCGAAUCAUUAACCCACUGAGCGAGGCCAGGGAUCAAACCUGCAACCUCAUGGUUCCUAGUCGGAUUCGUUUCUGCUGCACCACGACGGGAACGCCUAAAGCCCACUUUAAAACAGGGAAAGUCAUGCUACGUGAACUGUAUCUCAAUAAAUCCAUUAUUUAAAAAUCACUACUGAAUAUGUACUUUAAAAAUCUUUAUCUUCAUGUUAAAGCUUUUUCUUUUCUUUUCUUUUAGUUUUUAUGGCCCUACCUGUGGCAUAUGGAAGUUCCUGGGCUAGGGGUCAAAUUAGAGCUGCCGCUGCCGGCCUACACCACAGCCACCAGUUUACACCACGGCCACAGCAACACCAGAUCCAAGCCACAUCUGUGAUCUACGCUGCAGCUUGCAGCAGCGCCAGAUCCUUAACCUCUGAGGGAGGCCAGGGGUUGGACCCAAAUCCUCAUGGACACUAUGUUGGGUUCUUAACCUGCGGAGUCACAGUGGGAACUCUGUAAAGCGUUUUUGGUUGUGAAAUGAACGUACAGAUGGGUGAGUGUGUAAGCCACAUGUGCACACCCAGAAGGGAAAAACGUGAGCUCUGGCCCCAGCUCCUGUGUGAAGCCUGCGCACGUGACCACUUUCUUCAGAGCCCUCUGUGCGGCCCCUCCCCUAGCCGCACCCCCUUCCAACCAGCCCGGAAAACCACCCCCCAGGUUUUGGUGUGAACCAUCUCCCGGACAACUACUAGCCCUAGAAAUGUGAGUCUCGCUGUGGACGCUUUCCUCAAACUGAAAUGAGCACAGAGCAUUAAAAUCACCAGCGGCGGCUACGGGAAAUGUGGCCAAUCCAAACUCUGGCCUGUCACGCAGCCCCCGAAAGGAAUGAAGGCCCCACACCUGCCACGGCCUCGAAAACAUGGCACCCAGGGAGAGAAGCCAGAAGGCCACAUGCCGUCUGCUGCUGUUGAGAGAAAGUGACCAGAAUAGGCAGAUCCAGAGGGACAGAGCACAGACGGGUGGCUGCCCAGCUGUGGAAAAGCCGUGACAUCUCGGCAGGCGAAGAGAGGCGAGCCAGCCCGCAGACCGGCUCCGGGCCUGGGUGCUCAUGGGAGACCCUCAGCUGGAAGUCCUGGAUGCCUUUGAGAUUCACCUUGAGAAGGGUGAUCCUGGGAACCCUGGGUGACUCCAUCCUUAGGGACCGGUCCACUCCCAGGGGUGGAGGCAAGGGUCUGGCUGCCAGUCUUCUGGGGCCACGUUGGGGUAAAGACAGGGAUCUCAGCCACCGUCACGGGGUCAAGGCUGCCUGCAUUCCAGGGGGCAGAGCUCUGGGGGAGGGGCAGCUGGUGGCAGGGGUGGGGGUAGGGGAGGACCUAGGACUCAAAAUUCCCAACUGACCUGUUUCACAGCAGCCUCUUCCUCACCGUCACUCCUGCGCCCCUGUCCGGGGCUGCUUCUGUGGCUGAUCCUGAGAUGGGAGGGGGUCUCUCUGUGCGCAAUCUGGAAAAAUCUCACCUUUCUCACUCGCCCUGUAGGGCCGCUUCUCUCUCGUCCGUGAGCAGUUACCAUGGGUCCCCCUUCAUCCCCGCCUCGUGGGCAUCUUUUUACGUCUCUCCGUUGUGGUCGAAGUGGGGUCUGCAGCGCGAGCACUGUUCCGUGUGUUUAAUCUGCCAUCUUAACCGGGGGCUUUUGUGGCUGUGUCCACUCUUAGGUCCAGGCCUGGUACCACAUGGGGUCCAGCCUCUCCGAGCAAGCUGUCCCUGGGUCCUGGCCAGUGAGUUCCCCUCAGCCUCCUGCACGGAAGAUCCCAGCAAAAAAAGACCUGAUGCAUGAAGUCUGUUGGUUCCGCACAAUGGGCGGCUGUGUAGACUGCAGACCCGAUGCCUCUUUGUCCCUGAAAUGAGGGCUGGGGCUUCAGGAAUGCAAACUGAAAUAUUAAUAGCAGUGUCCCAAGUGAUGGGAUUUCAGGAUAGUAUAACUUCUUCCUCUGUUAUGCCUAUCUGCGUUUCAAUUUUUCUCCAGGGGGUAUAUAUUAGUUGUGUAAUUGUGACAAUAUUUUAAAUCAAGAACGAAUUCCUAUCUGUCUUUCAAGAGCCAGCUCAGCCGUCACUACCUCCCUGGAGCCUCUCCUGGUCACGCUGCAUGUGUGAGAUGGGCAUUAAAUUAAACUCCAUUUUCUAGGAGUUCCUGUCGUGGCUCAGGGGAAACCAACCCAGCUAGUAUCCAUGAGGACGCAGGUUUGAUCCCUGGCCUCGCUCAGUGGGUUAAGGAUCCAGCGUGGCCAUGAGCUGCAGUGUAGGUCGCGGAUGUGGCUCCGAUUUGGUGUUGCUGCAGUUGUGGUGUAGGCCAAUGGCUACAGCACUGAUCUGACCCCUCGCUUGGGAACCUCCAUAUGCUACCAGUGGGGCCCUAGAAAGACAAACGCAAACAAACAAAAUAAAACACUUUUAUUUUC
rnacentral:lncRNA from 1 species